CCUGCAGAAGCUGAGCUGGCUGUGCCUCCCCGCAUCCCCUAGGGCAUUGGUGUAAAGCUGGAGACCCACUGCCCCAGGUGCUGCUGGGGGUCGUAGUCUGACCCACUGGAAGAAAGC
rnacentral:precursor_RNA from 14 species